rnacentral:rRNA from 1 species
CCCUUAGAUGUUCUGGGCUGCACGCGCGCUACACUGAUGCGCUCAACGAGUUUACGAACUUGCCCGGAAGGGUUGGUUAAUCUUUUUAAAACGCGUCGUGAUGGGGAUAGAUUAUUGCAAUUAUUAAUCUUCAACGAGGAAUGCCUAGUAAGCGCAAGUCAUCAGCUUGCGUUGAUUACGUCCCUGCCCUUUGUACACACCGCCCGUCGCUCCUACCGAUUGAAUGGUCCGGUGAAGCGUUUGGACUAUGGUUUUCUGACGGUUCGCCAUUGGAUUACCGUGGGAAAUUCGUUAAACCUUAUCAUUUAGAGGAAGGAGAAGUCGUAACA